GAUGAACGCUGGCGGCGUGCCUAAUACAUGCAAGUCGAGCGAACAGACGAGGAGCUUGCUCCUCUGACGUUAGCGGCGGACGGGUGAGUAACACGUGGAUAACCUACCUAUAAGACUGGGAUAUCUUCGGGAAACCGGAGCUAAUACCGGAUAAUAUAUUGAACCGCAUGGUUCAAUAGUGAAAGACGGUUUUGCUGUCACUUAUAGAUGGAUCCGCGCCGCAUUAGCUAGUUGGUAAGGUAACGGCUUACCAAGGCGACGAUGCGUAGCCGACCUGAGAGGGUGAUCGGCCACACUGGAACUGAGACACGGUCCAGACUCAUACGAGAGGCAGGAGUAGAGAAUCUGCCGAAAGGGGCGAAAGCCUGACGGAGAAACGCCGCGUGAGUGAUGAAGGUCGUCGGAGCGUAAAACUCUGUUAUUAGGGAAGAACAAAUGUGUAAGUAACUAUGCACGUCUAGACGGUACCUAAACAGAAAGCCGCGGCUAACUACG
rnacentral:rRNA from 1 species